rnacentral:rRNA from 1 species
UGCCAGCAGCCGCGGUAAUACAGAGGUCUCAAGCGUUGUUCGGAUUCAUUGGGCGUAAAGGGCGCGUAGGCGGCUUGACAAGUCAAAGGUGAAAUCCCUCGGCUCAACUGAGGAACUGCCUUUGAAACUGUCUGGCUUGAGGCCGGGAGGGGGUAGCGGAAUUCCCAGUGUAGCGGUUAAAUGCGUAGAUACUGGGAGGAACACCAGUGGCGAAGGCGGCUACCUGGACCGGUUCUGACGCUGAGGCGCGAAAGCGUGGGUAGCAAACAGGAUUAGAUA